rnacentral:misc_RNA from 1 species
AAUCCGAGAAUUUCACCUCCAACAGUUAAAUACGAAUACCCCCAACUAUCCUUAUUGUGAUUACUCUAGUUCAAUUAACCAACAGCAUUGAACCAAGAGUCCUGUGCUAUUAUUCCAUGCUAUCAUAUUCACGGCGAUUGCCUGCUUGGAACACUCUCAUUUCCUCAAAGUAAAAAUUCAGAUCAUGUGGUCACACAGUGAAGUGCAUCCACCCUCCCUGAACAAAUGCGAGCAGAGUUCCGUGUAAUCUUCACUGGGAAGGACCGGAACCCGCUCACAGAUAUCCAACUACGAGCGUUUUAACCGCAACAAUUUUAAUAUACGCUAUUGGAGCUGGAAUUACCGCC